rnacentral:rRNA from 1 species
UACGGAGGGGGCUAGCGUUGUUCGGAAUUACUGGGCGUAAAGCGCACGUAGGCGGCUUCGCAAGUCAGAGGUGAAAGCCUGGGGCUCAACCCCAGAACUGCCUUUGAGACUGCGUCGCUCGAAUCCGGGAGAGGUGAGUGGAAUUCCGAGUGUAGAGGUGAAAUUCGUAGAUAUUCGGAAGAACACCAGUGGCGAAGGCGGCUCACUGGACCGGUAUUGACGCUGAGGUGCGAAAGCGUGGGGAGCGAACAGG